GGAGAGGUGUCCGAGUGGUUUAAGGAGCCGGUCUUGAAAACCGGUGACCCGGCGACGGGCCAUGGGUUCGAAUCCCAUCCUCUCCGCCA
rnacentral:tRNA from 2 species